rnacentral:rRNA from 1 species
GACGAACGCUGGCGGCGUGCUUAACACAUGCAAGUCGAACGGAAAGGCCCUGUUUUUGUGGGGUGCUCGAGUGCCGAACGGGUGAGUAACACGUGAGUAACCUGCCCUUGACUUUGGGAUAACUUCAGGAAAAUGGGGCUAUUACCGGAUAGGAGCUCCUGCUGCAUGGUGGUGGUUGGAAAGUUUCGGCGGUUGGGGAUGGACUCGCGGCUUAUCAGCUUGUUGGUGGGGUAGUGGCGUACCCAGGCUUUGACGGGUAGCCGGACUGGGAGGGUGAACGGCCCCAUCGCGUACGAGAGACGGCCGAAGGGAAUACUGGGGGAAGGAGGGGAGAAUGUUGCAGAAAGGGCGGGGGAGUGAAGCAGGAACUCGGCGUGCGGGACUACGGCGGUCGGGAAGAAAGCUGGUUUGGCUUGUAAGGACGUGUAAGGACGGGAACUGGGCAAAAAGGCACGGCUAACUUAGUG